rnacentral:rRNA from 1 species
GAUGAACGCUGGCGGCGUGCCUAAUACAUGCAAGUCGAGCGGACGCACGAGAAGCUUUUUUCUCUGCUGUUAGCGGCGGACGGGUGAGUAACACGUGGAUAACCUACUUCUAUUUCUUGGAUAACUUCGGAAGACCGGUGCUAAUACCACCUAAUAUUUUCUACCGGCUAGUUCAAAAGUUCUUAGCACUUUUCCCGUUUCAUUUAGCCGUAGUUGGAUUAGCUAGUUGGCGAGGUAAAGUCCCACCAAGGCAACGAUGCAUAGCUGGUCUGAGAGGGUGAUCAGCCACACUGGAACUGAGACACGGUCCAGACUCCUACGGGAGGCAGCAGUAGGGAAUCUUGGGCAAUGGGCGCAAGCCUGAUGCAGCCAUACCGCGUGAGUGAUGAAGGCCUUCGGAUUGUAAAACCCUUUUAUUAGGGAAGAAAAGAUGUGGAUGUAAACGCGCACAUUUUGACGGUACCCAAACAGAAAGCCACGGCUAACUACGUG